CCUACGGGCGGCAGCAGUGGGGAAUAUUGCACAAUGGGGGAAACCCUGAUGCAGCGACGCCGCGUGAGCGAAGAAGUAUCUCGGUAUGUAAAGCUCUAUCAGCAGGGAAGAAAAUGACGGUACCUGACUAAGAAGCCCCGGCUAACUACGUGCCAGCAGCCGCGGUAAUACGUAGGGGGCAAGCGUUAUCCGGAUUUACUGGGUGUAAAGGGAGCGCAGGCGGCGCGGUAAGUCUGAUGUGAAAGCCCGGGGCUCAACCCCGGGACUGCAUUGGAAACUGUCGUGCUGGAGUGUCGGAGGGGCAAGUGGAAUUCCUAGUGUAGCGGUGAAAUGCGUAGAUAUCACGCAGAACCCCGAUUGCGAAGGCAGCAUACCGGCGCCCUACUGACGCUGAGGCACGAAAGUGCGGGUAUCGAACAGGAUUAGAUACCCUUGUAGUC
rnacentral:rRNA from 1 species